UGUGGAGUGAUCUAGACUGGCUCGUGGCCCAAGGCUCCAAGGAGCAGGAUCUCUGUAAUAUAUGAGUUCCUGUCCGUGAGAGCUGGGUUUGCACAGCCUUGAGGGCCCCGAGGGACAUUUUGCCUGGGCUCCAGGAACUGCACUCUACAGCGGUUCCCAAAGGCCUGGGUCAACCAGCCUGCAACUGCCCAAGCUAAAGACAGAGGCCAGCUGUCGCCUCGCCUCUGUUGCUCCCAAAUCUGGGGGGAACCCAAUGAGCAACUUUGGAGGCCAGAUUGUUGCCCAGCCCUGUGUGACUCCAGAGCCCAUGCUCUUCCCCUUCCCCUGGCCCCCUCACCUGCACAUCGCCAAUGAUGUCCUCCAUGACUACAUCGUACUGGACCACGAAGUCAGCCAUGAUGCCUGAGCUGGAGAAGGCAGACUGCUCUUGAAGGGUCGGGCAAAAGGAUAGCUCUCCCACCUUUUCAGAGAGUCUUUUCUCUGACUAACCUAUUUAAGAUUGAACACGGAACCUUGAGCUGAGCGGCCAAGAGCUGCCGACGGGUGGCCGGAUGGCGACUGGACUGGG